rnacentral:rRNA from 1 species
AACGAACGCUGGCGGCAUGCCUAACACAUGCAAGUCGAACGAAGGCUUCGGCCUUAGUGGCGCACGGGUGCGUAACGCGUGGGAAUCUGCCCUUUGCUUCGGAAUAACAGUUAGAAAUGACUGCUAAUACCGGAUGAUGUCGCAAGACCAAAGAUUUAUCGGCAAAGGAUGAGCCCGCGUAGGAUUAGCUAGUUGGUGGGGUAAAGGCCUACCAAGGCGACGAUCCUUAGCUGGUCUGAGAGGAUGAUCAGCCACACUGGGACUGAGACACGGCCCAGACUCCUACGGGAGGCAGCAGUGGGGAAUAUUGGACAAUGGGCGAAAGCCUGAUCCAGCAAUGCCGCGUGAGUGAUGAAGGCCUUAGGGUUGUAAAGCUCUUUUACCCGGGAUGAUAAUGAUAGUACCGGGAGAAUAAGCUCCGGCUAACUCCGUG